rnacentral:rRNA from 1 species
GAUGAAUGCUGGCUGUGUGCCUAAUACAUGCAUGUCGAGCGAAACGCUUGCGUUUAGCGGCAAAUGGGUGAGUAAUGCGUACCUAAUCUACCUUUUAGUUGGGGACAACAAUUGGAAACGAUUGCUAAUACCGAAUAUUCCUUUAAUCGCAUGAUUAUAUAGUGAAAGGGGCGUUUGCCUCGCUAAAAGAUGAGGGUGCGUUACAUUAGUUAGUUGGUAGGGUAAUGGCCUACCAAGACGAUGAUGUAUAGCGGGGCUGAGAAGCUGAUCCGCCACACUGGGAUUGAGAUACGGCCCAGACUCCUACGGGAGGCAGCAGUAGGGAAUAUUCCACAAUGAGCGAAAGCUUGAUGGAGCGACACAGCGUGCAGGAUGACGGCCUU